rnacentral:rRNA from 1 species
CCUACGGGAGGCAGCAGUGGGGGAUAUUGCACAAUGGGGGAAACCCUGAUGCAGCAACGCCGCGUGAGUGAAGAAGGUCUUCGGAUUGUAGAGCUCUGUUCUUGGUGAAGAUAAUGACGGUAGCCAAGGAGAAAGCUCCGGCUAACUACGUGCCAGCAGCCGCGGUAAUACGGAGGAUGCGAGCGUUAUCCGGAUUUAUUGGGUUUAAAGGGUGCGUAGGCGGGCAUCUAAGCCGGCGGUCAAAUGUCGGGGCUCAACCCCGGCCUGCCGUCGGAACUGGGGGCCUUGAGUGGGCGAG